rnacentral:lncRNA from 1 species
GGACAGACAGUGAAAUCAAAAACUAUUGGAAUACUAUCCUAAGAAAGAAGGUAAAAGUUAGCAAUGAGCCAGACAAAAUCCUCAAGGAACCUUCAAAUGAGACUGUACCAUCUUGGAACAUGGAACCAUUUUCUACGAAAACCAAGCUAAAAUGAUACUCCGAUGAUACUUUUUGCCCAACAGCAAUCUCAAUUGAGCAUGUUGACAGUGGCACAUUGGUGAAAGCCCCCAUUGAUGAAGGUUUGGAGACGAGCAAGGAAGCAGACGGUGACAAACGUAUUUUGCCUUUCACAAUCGGAAGCGAUUAUAACACACAGGACUUGUUGAAGGAUCUUAAUGUUGAGGAGAUUAGCCUAUCAGAGCUUCUGCAUACUGACUUCAAAGAUAUCUAUGAAGGUAACGAGAUGAUGAUUAAAGAUUGUGAUAGUG